rnacentral:miRNA from 1 species
AUGGCUGUGAGUGCGGCUGAGG